rnacentral:rRNA from 1 species
GACAGAGGUGCCAAGCGUUAGGCGGAAUCACUGGGCUUAAAGCGUGUGUAGGCGGAUCAGUAAGUACCUUGUGAAAUCCCACGGCUCAACCGUGGAACCGCUUGGUAUACUGCCGAUCUUGAGGCAAUUAGGGGCGAGUGGAACAAAUGGUGGAGCGGUGAUAUGCGUAGAUAUCAUUUGGAACGCCAAAGGUGAAAACAGCUCGCUGGGAUUGUCCUGACGCUGAGACACGAAAGCCAGGGGAGCGAACGGG